ACAACUAACUGGAAGAUAUGCAUUUUAUUUCACCCCUUCUCUCUCCCCCCUUCAGCCCGAAGCCGCUGGAGUGAUGGAGCCUAACGUUUGAAGACCCAUCUCCCUCACCCCCUUCAGUAGAAGAAAUUUAGUCGAAGGUAAUUUUUUUUUUCCAAUUCAUUUUAAAUGUCUACCUUUGAAGAUCCAUCUCUCAUUUUUGUUUAUGCAUUAUUUUUGGAGACACAUGGACCGAUUCACCACAACCGUUUGAAGACCCAACUCGCUGACUCCCUUCAAUUUUUCAGUUUGAAGAAAUCCCCGUGAAAGUGUUGAACUUAAAGUAGUCAUCUGUCAAUCAUCACGUAGACAAACUAUGGCAUCGAGUCAAUCAUCGUCGUGUGUAGUUAAUGAUCUUGAAAUCGAAUCACCAAGUUGUUGGUGUGGUUUGAAAACGCCAUUAAAGAUCUCCUACACUCACAAUAAUCCUGGACGGAAAUUUUAUGCUUGACCGAAUUAUCAUACGGGAGAAAGAAAAUGUAAAUUCUUCAUUUGGGCAGAUAUACUUCAAUCAGUAUUAUCUGAGAAAAACUUGACAAGAGAUAAUGAUCUUCGGAAGAGGGAGGAUGCUGUAUUGUUGCGUGAGUAUGAAGCUCAAAAAGAAAAAGACAAACUAAUAGAUAGAGAGAAAAUGCUAAAGAAGCAUGAAGACGAGCUCCAAAGAAGGAUAGUAGAGAAUAGGGUCGUACGUAUAUUGUUGUGUCUAUAUUGGUUUGUAUCUCUUGUAAUAGUUUUUGAUUUGUUCUGAAUGGCAUGGUUUAUCAUGUUAGUUUUAAAUGUAAAUAGAAUGACUAUUUUUUUGUGUC